CCGACCACUCCUCAAUGAUAUACAUAUCCAAAAAUGUUUGUUACAUUUGUUUUACAACAUGCUCUUCACAUAUGUGUGCAUGUACUCAAUGCUGUCAUCUCUGUUCCAUAAAUUCAUUUUAUGUUUCUCUUUGAAAUUCCAGUUGUAUAAAAUUCUAUCAGCAAACAAAAACUUUUUGUUUUGCUAUCAAAAUUAUAUUCUAUGAAAUUCCCAUCGUAUCCUAGAAGGAACGAUUGUAAAACCACAAUUCCAAGUAAGUGAUAAAAAUCUCUUCAAUGCAACACGGAACCCGGAAGACAAUGCAAGUGCCCACACUUGCUGACAGUCACCCCUCAGAGGGACACCAAAACAUGGGAAGUGACAGGUGGAAGGCCCUGUAGUGAUACGAAAGAAGAAAAAAAACGACAAAAACAUGAUGAUGUCUACAACAUAAAAUAGUUGAGUUGAAGGAACAGUAUAACCCAUAGCCAGCCAACGACUGUAGAACUCCAAAGAUAUUUCACAACAGAAAGGAAUGUUCAAUAGAAAUUGAAUAAGAAUGAGUUCACAUAAAGAAUAAACGUUAAAGUCGUUAAGACACAAAAAUUAUAUAAGCUAACCGCCCCAGAUGGUCUGUGUUUGUGUGUGUGGAGGGGUUGGUGGCAGCCAUUGAUUAAAAGGGCACCGCCAUUGAAUGAACAUUCACUGAAUACCUAUGGUCAUAGUGGUAGCCCAUAAAAUACCUUCCUCUACGGAAAUGCAUUCGACUGUAAAAUUAGCCCCAUUUUCUUGGAUGGUGGUGGGGCCACAAUUGAUUACACUGACACAUGGAGUUUAAGUUAAAACUUGAGACUUUAUUUAUUGAAGAGGAGACAAAUGGACAGUGUUGCCACUUUAAAUAAAAAUGCAGUUUAAUUUUAAGAAAAAAGUAAUUUGCAUAAUGAACGAAAUACAUAAUUGAACGAAGCUA